GAUGAACGCUGGCGGCGUGCCUAAUACAUGCAAGUCGAGCGAACAGACGAGAAGCUUGCUUCUCUGAUGUUAGCGGCGGACGGGUGAGUAACACGUGGAUAACCUACCUAUAAGACUGGGAUAACUUCGGGAAACCGGCGCUAAUACCGGAUAAUAUUUUGAACCGCAUGGUUCAAAAGUGAAAGACGGUCUUGCUGUCACUUAUAGAUGGAUCCGCGCUGCAUUAGCUAGUUGGUAAGGUAACGGCUUACCAAGGCAACGAUGCAUAGCCGACGUGAGAGAGUGGUAGGCGACACUGGAAGUGAGACACGGUCAAGACUCCUACGGGAGGCAGCAGUAGGGAAUCUGACGCAAUGGGCGAGAGCCUGACGGAGCAACGCCGAGUGAGUGAUAAAGGUGUUCGGAUCGUAAAACUCUGUUAUGAGGGAAGAACAGAUGUGUAAGUAACUGUGCACAUAGUGACGGUACCUAAUCAGAAAGCCACGGCUAACUACGUG
rnacentral:rRNA from 1 species